CAGUGGUGGUGGGAAGGGAUGCUUAGGUCCAUCCCUACACUGGACCUCAACCCUUCCUAGACCUACCUAAUGGUUGACAUCAUUCCUGGGGUUUGGACCCUGCAGCUGGGAGCUCUGAAUACCCAGUCAGAAGCAGACAGUAAUCCCUAGCUUGAUACAGAAAAGAAGGGACAGUCUCCGAAAUUCAGUUAAAAGGAAGGCAAUUAAAAAACCAUUCCCUGAACUUCCCCACAUCCUGACUACAAUGGAAAAGGCACUCGGAUUUUGGAUGCUGGUUCAGAACAGUUAUCCCACCUCUCUCUCCUGGAGAAUGGGGCACCAAUUAUCAUAUAUGCCAUCCAGAACCACUUGAAUGCUGUUAGACUUGGCAUGGGGCAUGGCUCACAGACUUGUCUGAGGCACAACAAUGUGAAAGUCUACCUUUACUUGCAAGAGUAUCAGGUAGAGGAGUCCUGGACAUAGAUUUGACUACACUAAAACUGUGAGCUUCAGAAGUUUGUAAGAACAGUAGGAGUACAAGAAUUGGCAUCAGUGCCAGAGAUUGUGGCAGCCAAACCUGGUAAAAAGUAAAAAAGGCUUAAGAAUCCUAUUUCACUCAGCCCAUCAAUGGAUGAUCAUUCACAACAAAACAAUGGUUUUAACAAGUAAGGGAGCUAUGUUGCAUUUGGAAGUGAACUUGAU
rnacentral:lncRNA from 1 species